GUAAAAGAGCUCGAAUAUUUUGGAAUUAUCAUCCUACUAGCACUGUACAGCCCUAUACGUUCUGUAAACAAGACUGCCUCAUAUCUGGGUUCAUCUCUUCUAUUCUCAUAACAAAAAAUAACAAUGUGAAACAGCUGUCUCUCCUCAGUUACGAUAAUAUAAUAUCAAGUCGACAUCUUUCACUUUUUGAUUCGAGUGGUUUGUGCACGCGCUCUCACGAGGGGGUGCCUCUCAUGAAAGCCGUGCAUCUGAUCGCACAACACCGGAAAUCAACAGAAGAAAGUCGUGUUGGUUACAGAGUGAUAUUUCUGCAACUUCUGGUGGCACUCAGUCUACAGUCGACAGCCAGAAGGCGUAAAAAUAGGGCUACAUUAAUUAAUGGUUACGUUCAUUUCUUCUUUAGCAAAAAUGGCUGGAAUACUCACUCUGAAAGCGUUCGUUAACGAGCGACUAACCUCUGCAGCUGAAGAGAUAUUUGGAAUGUUUGAGAAAACCAUUAACGAACAUCACGCGGAAGUUUCCCGUUUAAACAAGGAGCUCAAGAUUCAACGCAGACAACUGGAGACCGUUUUACACCCAAACAAACCAUUACACAGAACAGACCCACAGCAGUUCAUUCUCAAUGAUCCUGAACCGGAAGCUUGCCAUGAACAACAACAGCACUGUGACUUGGAUUGGAGGACCAAUGUUAUUCUGGUUAUGGAUGAACCAGCACCCCAACAAAUUAAAGAGGAAGAGGAGGUACAUCGGACCAAUCAGGAAGAAGAGCGUAAUCAAGGGCUGGAAGCUUACUCAAGAGAAUGUAUAUUGACUUUUGAACAUUUGAAGAACAAUCUCGGUUUUCCAACACAUACCUAACCAGAAGUGUAAAGAACAUGACAGAAGAACCUCCUCAUAAACUACCCAAUCAAAGGGGAGGAAAGCAUGCUGUGCAAGAACGGGCAUGUAAGAUGAAUUCCAUUGAGGUGUCAAAUCCAAAAUUGCCUGAUGAAAGUCAGUCUGUGUAUAGUUGUAAGGUGUGUGGAAAUACUUUUCACUAUAAGGGUAACUUGGUGAGGCAUGUAAGAUUGCAUACAAAGGAUGCUGAAUGUCGUUGCGGUGUUUGUGGGGACUCCUACCUGGAGGCCACUGAACUGAAAGUCCACUUAAGAACCCAUAAAUCGUUUCAGUGCACUGUUUGUGGAAAAAUAUUAGUCAAUGGUUCAAGUUUGAAAGUGCACAUGAGGACACACACUGAAGAGAAACCACAUUGUUGUAAAGUUUGUGGCAGAGGAUUUAAACAAAUGGGGCAUUUGAUUGUACAUACAAGGACACACACCAGAGAGAAACCACAUUGUUGUAACAUAUGCAACAGAGGAUUUAAUCAAAUGGUACAUUUGAGUGUGCAUAUGAGAACUCAUACCGGGGAGAAACCUUUUUCUUGUCAUGUCUGUGGUAAAGGAUUUGUCUCUAGAGGAAAUUUAGUUCAACACAUUAGAGUCCAUUCAGGGGAUAAACCAUACAUUUGUAAUGAUUGUGGCAAAACCUUUACCAAGCGUACAAGUCUUAAUUACCACAUGAGGAUACAUAUUGGAGAGAAAGCAUUUUGCUGUCAUAUCUGUGGUCAAGAUGUCUGCACUAGUGAAGACUUGAAAAACCACAUGUAAAUACACAUUAAAGGAAAACCAUAUUCUGACCUGUUAAAGUAUUAAGUGGAGGAAGGACAUCAUUAUUUCUUGUAGAUGUUUUCAAAGUACUUAAGGUAAACAUUUAGAAUGAAUACAUGGAAAUAAUACCAGUACUGAUAAUACUAAUUCCAUGGAACUUGACAUGUUGAUAUACUAACAUAUUACCUUAUAACACUAGACAGAAUAUUGUAAAGUAGACCUAGAAUGGCUACUAUACUAGCCACAAAUACAAGCCACCAAUACUAGGAAUAUUUAACAACAUUUGAUGUACGCAGGAUAGGCAAGUUUUGCUUGAAUUUGAAAGGAUUCAAACCAAAAUAUCCCACCUAUCCCUUCAAAGCCACUCCUCCAAAACACAUGAACAUGCUGCCUUACUAUAGCCGAGAGGUAGGUAGGUAAACAGACAAGUAGCCUGUCCAAUAAUUGCAUUCGGUCCAAAUGCCGUGCAAUCAUAAGUGUUAACUUAAUGAUUGAUCGUUUUUAUUAUAGUCCUGCGAUGCCCACAGAUAUCAGGUUGAUUUAAUUUGACUGUCCAACGUUUAUAUUUAUUGGUUCCUAUCAGGAUGCAGUUUAUUUCAGCAAAUAUGUCAAAAAGAGCUUCUCAACAACAUUACCUACCCUGCCAAGUAAAUGGAACUUGUUUUAAGUUAACACCGCCUUUCUUUUAUUCAUCAGCCCACAUUACAAUUUUCUUCUUUGACAACACUUAUAUUUAAUAUAGUGUUACAUAUGUAAGGUUAGGCCCAAAUGAUUCCAAUGUAGGCUUACCUGUACCGAUAGAAAACGCAAAUAAACUUGUGCAUAUUGCAUUCUUAUA